AUUGAACGCUGGCGGCAUGCUUUACACAUGCGAGUCGAACGGCAGCGCGGGCUUCGGCCUGGCGGCGAGUGGCGAACGGGUGAGUAAUACAUCGGAACGUGCCCAGUAGUGGGGGAUAGCUCGGCGAAAGCCGGAUUAAUACCGCAUACGACCUGAGGGUGAAAGCGGGGGAUCUUCGGACCUCGCGCUAUUGGAGCGGCCGAUGGCAGAUUAGCUAGUUGGUGGGGUAAAGGCCUACCAAGGCGACGAUCUGUAGCUGGUCUGAGAGGACGACCAGCCACACUGGGACUGAGACACGGCCCAGACUCCUACGGGAGGCAGCGGUGGGGAAUUUUGGACAAUGGGCGAAAGCCUGAUCCAGCAAUGCCGCGUGUGUGAUGAAGGCCUUCGGGUUGUAAAGCACUUUUGGCGGGAACGAAAAGGACUGUGCCAAUACCACGGUUCGAUGACGGUACCCGCAGAAUAAGCACCGGCUAACUACGUG
rnacentral:rRNA from 1 species